rnacentral:SRP_RNA from 1 species
GCCGGGUGUGGUGGCUCACACCUGUAAUCCCAGCACUUUGGGAGGCCGAGGCAGGCGGAUCACUUGAGGUCAGGAGUUCAAGACAAGCCUGACCAACAUGGAGAAACCCUGUCUCUA